UGAUGCAAUAUCGACUCUGUCGAAUAAAAUUCUAGGUAGAAUUAUGAUAAUGACAUUAUCUGCCUAUAUGUCUUGACCAAAUUACGUGCCAGCAGUCGCGGUAAUACGUAGAAGACUAGUGUUAUUCAUCUUUAAUAGGUUUAAAGGGUACCUAGACGGUAAAUCAAGCCUGCGAGGGGACUAAUUUACUAGAGUUACUUGUGAGGGGGUAUUAAAGUACUAAUGGUGUAGAGAUGAAAUUCUGUCAUACCUCUUUUCGUAAGAAAAAUUACGGCACAGGUAUAGGCGAAAGCAUCCCCUUAUGUGAUAACUGACGUUGAAGGACGAAGGCUUUGUGUCGCGAACAGGAUUAGAUACCCCAGUAGUCAAAGCAGAAAAUGAUGAAUGUCAUAGAUUAGACAUAUAAUAGUUUAUUCUAUAAAUGAAAGUGUAAGCAUUCCACCUCAAGAGUAAUUUGGCAACAUUGGAACUGAAAUCAUUAGACCGUUUCUGAAACCAGUAGUGAAGUAUGUUGUUUAAUUUGAUAAUCCGCAAAAAACCUUACCACAACUUGAAUAUUUAUAUUUUAUAUUUUAUAGAUAAAAUAGAUCUAUAUGAGUAAAAAUAUAUUUACAAGCGUUGCACGGCUGUCUUCAGUUAAUGUCGUGAGAUUUUGGUUAGUUCCAUUAAAUUAACGUAAACCCUUGCUUUAUUUUUAUAUAAAGUAGUUCCCCGCUAGAU
rnacentral:rRNA from 1 species